ACUGCGAAUUUAAAAAUUUAGUUGUAGAUAAAUUGGUUGUAGCUGUAAAGUUGUUACUGUAGACUUUUUCUGUAGAGAUUUUUGUUGUAGUUAAAUUUGUUUGUAACUGUAAGUUAUAGGUUGUGGAUAUUUUAAAAUAAAAUAUAUGAAAUAUGUGUUGUAUAUAUAAAAUUAUUAUUUUAUAUGAAUUAAAAUAAUUUAUAUUAAUACUUUUUUAUAAAUUAUUAAAAUUUAUUGUAAUUUAAAAUGUGAUAUGUAAAUAAUAUUUAUAUUAUUUAAAUAUCUUAAUAAUUAAAAACACUCAAAUUAAAAAUUAAAAUAUUUAUAAAAGUUUUUAUUAUGAUUAUAUAAUUUAUUUGAUAUUAUGGAUAUUUUUUUUCAUUUUACAGAUUCUACAACCUAUAAAAAGAUGAUGUAGCAUUUUUGCCUCAAAUACAUAAGAAAAUGUUUUGCUUUAUUUUUUUUUGUUGUAGUUUUAAAAAUAAAACUAAAGCAUGAUUGGUAAAACUAAAUAAAAACUUGAUGUAGACUUUAAUUUUUAAAAGUAAAGCUACAGCAUGAUUGGUAAAAUUUAGUAAUUUAAAAAUAAAUAAAGCUAAAGUAUGUAGAUAAAGCCCAACCAAUCACCCUCAAA
rnacentral:lncRNA from 1 species